ACGGGUGAGUAAUAUAUCGGAACGUGCCCAGUUGUGGGGGAUAGCCCGGCGAAAGCCGGAUUAAUACCGCAUACGACCUGAGGGUGAAAGCGGGGGAUCGCAAGACCUCGCGCAAUUGGAGCGGCCGAUAUCAGAUUAGCUAGUUGGUGGGGUAAAGGCCUACCAAGGCGACGAUCUGUAGCUGGUCUGAGAGGACGACCAGCCACACUGGGACUGAGACACGGCCCAGACUCCUACGGGAGGCAGCAGUGGGGAAUUUUGGACAAUGGGCGCAAGCCUGAUCCAGCCAUGCCGCGUGCGGGAAGAAGGCCUUCGGGUUGUAAACCGCUUUUGUCAGGGAAGAAACGGUCUGAACUAAUACUUUGGACUAAUGACGGUACCUGAAGAAUAAGCACCGGCUAACUACGUGCCAGCAGCCGCGGUAAUACGUAGGGUGCAAGCGUUAAUCGGAAUUACUGGGCGUAAAGCGUGCGCAGGCGGCUAUGCAAGACAGAUGUGAAAUCCCCGGGCUCAACCUGGGAACUGCAUUUGUGACUGCAUGGCUCGAGUACGGUAGAGGGGGAUGGAAUUCCGCGUGUAGCA
rnacentral:rRNA from 1 species